UCUCCGUAGGUGAACCUGCGGAGGGAUCAUUACUGAGUUCAUGCCCUACCGGGUAGAUCUCCCACCCUAUGUUAUUAUUACUUUGUUGCUUUGGCGGGCCGUUAGGCUCCGGCCCGACUACCGGCCCCGGCUGGUAAGCGCCCGCCAGAGGACCCAAAACCCUGAAUAUUAGUGUCGUCUGAGUACUAUAUAAUAGUUAAAACUUUCAACAACGGAUUUCUUGGUUCUG
rnacentral:misc_RNA from 1 species